rnacentral:rRNA from 1 species
AUCUAAGAGAUUAGACGUUCCCUUCGGGGACAUGGAUACAGGUGGUGCAUGGUUGUCGUCAGCUCGUGUCGUGAGAUGUUGGGUUAAGUCCCGCAACGAGCGCAACCCUUAUUAUCAGUUGCCAGCAUUAAGUUGGGCACUCUGGUGAGACUGCCGGUGACAAACCGGAGGAAGGUGAGGAUGACGUCAAAUCAUCAUGCCCCUUAUGACCUGGGCUACACACGUGCUACAAUGGAUGGUACAACGAGUUGCGAACUCGCGAGAGUAAGCUAAUCUCUUAAAGCCAUUCUCAGUUCGGAUUGUAGGCUGCAACUCGCCUACAUGAAGUCGGAAUCGCUAGUAAUCGCGGAUCAGCAUGCCGCGGUGAAUACGUUCCCGGGUCUUGUACACACCGA